UACGUAGGUGGCAAGCGUUGUCCGGAAUUACUGGGUGUAAAGGGAGCGCAGGCGGGAAGCCAAGUCAGCUGUGAAAACUACGGGCUUAACUUGUAGACUGCAGUUGAAACUGGUUUUCUUGAGUGAAGUAGAGGUUGGCGGAAUUCCGAGUGUAGCGGUGAAACGCGUAGAUAUUCGGAGGAACACCGGUGGCGAAGGCGGCCAACUGGGCUUUAACUGACGCUGAGGCUCGAAAGUGUGGGGAGCAAACAGG
rnacentral:rRNA from 1 species